rnacentral:rRNA from 1 species
UCUCCUGGAAACGGGUGGUAAUGCCGGAUGCUCCAGUUGAUCGCAUGGUCUUCUGGGAAAGCUUUCGCGGUAUGGGAUGGGGUCGCGUCCUAUCAGCUUGACGGCGGGGUAACGGCCCACCGUGGCUUCGACGGGUAGCCGGCCUGAGAGGGCGACCGGCCACAUUGGGACUGAGAUACGGCCCAGACUCCUACGGGAGGCAGCAGUGGGGAAUAUUGCACAAUGGGCGCAAGCCUGAUGCAGCGACGCCGCGUGAGGGAUGGAGGCCUUCGGGUUGUAAACCUCUUUUAUCGGGGAGCAAGCGAGAGUGAGUUUACCCGUUGAAUAAGCACCGGCUAACUACGUGCCAGCAGCCGCGGUAAUACGUAGGGUGCAAGCGUUAUCCGGAAUUAUUGGGCGUAAAGGGCUCGUAGGCGGUUCGUCGCGUCCGGUGUGAAAGUCCAUCGCUUAACGGUGGAUUCGCGCCGGGUACGGGCGGGCUUGAGUGCGGUAGGGGAGACUGGAAUUCCCGGUGUAACGGUGGAAUGUGUAGAUAUCGG